AGAUAAUGUCGAACUGGGCAUGAUGAACUUGAAGCAAACGACAAUGCCACGGAUACAAUUAUUCGACGGGGAGACCCUGAAAUGGAUGAUCCUCGUGUGCUCAGCAAGAAAGCUAGGGAGAACAAUCUUCAUAGUCCCUGAGGUAACAGCUAUGUAUGUUUAACCACAACUAUGAUAGCGCGACACAUACUAAACUACGCGCAACCUUAUGCAGGCAAGACACUGGAAUGCCAUGUGCUACACAUGGCACAACUGGCUGAACGAGAAACAUGGCAAGAAGAAAGCAAUGGAGCACAAGGCUGAAGGCUCAGCAAAUCAGUAUGCACUCGUCAGUCAUAACCCAGAGACCACUCGACGGGGAGAGUAUACCAAUGCGGACACAAGCAACCUUCCAUAGACACAUAAAAGCAGCAUCAAAUUCAGCCCCGGCGACUACGCUCGCUGGAUCCAGAUGCAAAACCCAGAGCUGGCCGCUUCUCCAUUAGGAUGGGCACUUAAAGAGCACAACGCAAAGUGUGUGCAUAUCGCAAAUGAAAUGAGAAGGAACAUUGCAAAUGAGAACAUUCAAUUCACAAAAAAACUGCUAUAGGUGUACAUUGUCAAACCAAAUUUGACAACACCCGCACCCAAUGCAUCUUAUCGCGCUGUCAAACCCGCACCAGGCGUCAGUGGUGCAGGUUCACACAACGCAGAAGCACCGAGCAGACUCGCACAUCAAAUAGUUGGACGAAGGCUGGAGUUGUCAUCUCCAUCCUUGACGCCCGUUGAACGCGCCAAACCAGUGGUCUUGACCACCACCGACCAAUUGUCCACAACACCUACUAGGGGCCAAAAGCGAGCAAGGGCAGAUGACGCGCCAGGUAAUAGGUUGCCAAUGUUUUCCUCCAUUGAUAAUAUGAAGUUCUCAUAGGUUGUCCAUGCAAGUACAUUAGGGCAAUAAAAUCACCAAUGCUCGCAGACGCACCAUCAUUCGAAUUGGACAUAGACAGACACAACGAAGCCAGUACGCCUGUUAAGAAGGAUGGAAAGGCCACUCUGAUUUCACCUACCUUGGCGACGAAGACACACUCAGACCACCUAGUGGGCCAGCUAAUGAUGCUUAACGAUGAGAUUGGAGACAACAAGGGACAUAUUGUCUUUGGUCAAGUCAACAACAUGGCUGUAACAAAGAUCAAAGCUACCCACACCGGUUUCACCAAAGACCCAUGGUUGAGCAACCGUCUGGUGCGCACACACGGGCCGGGCGUCCUAAAAGCCAUCAGAGAAUGGAUGCGAUC